CGGUCCGUCGUCAUUAGAGGUUACAAUCGUCGGUGAUGUAUCGAGAACGAUUUAUCAGUGAAACUCUCCCUAUUUUGAGUAGACGGAAAACUCUUCUGGCGCCCAAGUCCUUGCAGGCGAAAGAAAGGCGUUAUCGUCAGAUAUAAGCACUUGGGUGUUUUCGUUUAGCGGUGGAAGCGUGUGUCCUUCGAGAAGGCCUGCUUGAAUUCACUCGUUCGAUAGUAUUACCGCGGUCGGACGGAAGUUUACUGUCAGAAUAGUUGCGUAAAUGUCCUUGGAAUGCUCGAGUGGAAUUCCAAGUUUAGUGCCUAGGAAAGGCGUUGGAGCAAAGUGUUUCUGCGAAUAGGAGUGCAAUGCAUUGAAAACUCCACGAAAAGUGUCAGUUGCUCGCAGAAAAAGCUACUUAGCUUAGUGCCCAGGACCUUCAUUCUAAGAUGCCCCGGAAAAUGCUAAUUUGAUAAGACUUUAAUUCGCCUCCCAUGACGAAAAUGUCAGUUUUUGAAACGGGGUGUGUUGUAACCAAAGUGAAUAAGGUCAUGUACAGGUCCAUGAAAUUCUGAUUAUUUCUCUUCUCAAAAGUUCCGCCUUUCUCUCUUGCCGCUCCUUUCUCAUCUCUACUUUCUCUUCGGGUAUCCUUUCGGUCGCGCGUGUGGCAUGUGGAAAGGAAUGUUUAAAACAAAACAUGUGCACAUAGAAAAGAAGAGACACAGUGCCGUGAUAAGGAGAGUAUCUGGAGACCAUCUCGGUUGUUUUCUUGGGUGUACGCGUAUCUUGUAAAUUGUCUCUUAACUUUCCUCGUGCGGUUGCUUUAUUUCUCUCUUUUGUGUUAUCUUUAAAGUGAUAAUAAGAUCCUUUUGCUAGCAAGUGCUCCCAGAGUGUUUCGAAGGAAUGUAAGCGAAUAAGUGAAAGAAAGCUCAUGUAUAGCUAAGUACGCUGAAGUGAAUCCGAAGUUGCUCGUAUAUAUCUACGUCUCCUUGUAGAUACGAAGUAGCAACAGCGAGGGAGAACAAGUACUUGUCGUCCUGUUUAAGAAAAUCCACACACCCCGCCAAGUCCGUUUCCGCUUAAACGAUUCUCAGAAAGAUAUUUUCCGCGGAUCUAUUUUUUGGCACCAGCACCAGAUCCCAGGACGAUGUGCAAAUAGCAAUGGAAAGCGAUAGUACGGACACAAUUGUCACAACUGAAACCCUCCAAGCGUACGAAAUAUAGUCCAACUACAGGGUAUCAUAUGAAUCCACCGAUGCAGAGAGGAUAAUACAGAAAUGGUUUCAUUGCAAGGAGACGAUGUUAUAAAAAUCUACCCGGGUAUAAAAAAUAUCACGUAAUUACGGUGACGUCGGAUGACCUUCUUGUUGACUGAGCCUAACUGUAAUGAACAUGGCGUCACUGAACCCCCAGCGCACAACAAACCAUUGAACAUGCAUCAAAACAAACAACACAUACUUGCAAGAACAAACAAACAAAGACAUAAUUGUCCAAAAACUAUGUAAAUAAAUAGGAAUAAUUCUAACAAUAGAUACCUAAUUAAUCUCGUAAGAAACAAAACUCACAAAAGUUAACAUUUCAAUAACCUUAUGUAAAAUAGCAUAAAUUCCUAACACGAAUGUAUAAAAUGAGCAAAGUCACAAUGAAAACUUAUUUCAAUGUCCUAAAUAAACCUUAACAUAAAACAAAUAUAAUAAAAUAUUUUAUGCAAAUAAUACCCACAUAUAUUUUUAGAUUACUACUUAAACUAUUCUGGACUAUGAAAUCUUGACUAAAAACUUUAUUAAACUUUAAUAUAAACCUUGAAGAAUUUAACAAAAUUGAAAACAAAAUAUAAAAAUAAAAACCUAAACUUGAGAAAAUUGACAAAAACAACUCCCCCAAAACAACCAUAGCAUCACGAAGUCAACUAAACCAACACCAAACACAUCCCCAGACUCCCGAAAAGUAACAUUUUUUCACCGAAUAGUCUAAAUUAAGAUUAAAAACGCAACUAUGACGUCCACAACGGCUUUGGCACUUCUGGGCCUUUUCAUGCUUCAUUUUGAUACUGGCACCACCCAGAAGCCAUCUUCUAGCAUAGA